rnacentral:rRNA from 1 species
UGGCGGACGGGUGAGUAAUGUCUGGGAAACUGCCCGAUGGAGGGGGAUAACUACUGGAAACGGUAGCUAAUACCGCAUAACGUCGCAAGACCAAAGAGGGGGACCUUCGGGCCUCUUGCCAUCGGACGUGCCCAGAUGGGAUUAGCUAGUAGGUGGGGUAACGGCUCACCUAGGCGACGAUCCCUAGCUGGUCUGAGAGGAUGACCAGCCACACUGGGACUGAGACACGGUCCAG